ACAUGUUAAGACCGCAAACUCGGGUUUGAUUUGGGUAUGAUACAGCCGUCUGUGUAAUAACUACAAUAAUGUUUAAAUAUCAUAUUUUCUGUCUAGUUUACUUUAGUUUUUUAUAAUACACAAUACUUUAACCCAAAAUGACAACAAGUUUAAAUGAGUAAAUCUUCUAUAAAUAUUUUUUAAUAUUAAUUUUCUUUCCUGUCAUACUCCAAUUCUUGUUAAAACACACUAGAUAUUCUUAUUCUGUGCAUUUUGAGCACUUUUUGUGUGAAAUCAUAUUUAUUUUGUCCAUCAAAGGUGUACUUUCACUUUAAUUGAGCGUCAGCAGCGCAGCAAAAAUAGACCCAGCGUCGAUACGAUCGCGGCACUGCGGCUUCUGCGAGACUGGAUGUUGUUACGCGCAUGCGCGAUGGUGUGUUUCGCUGACAUGUAUAAUGCUCACAGCGAUUCUCAUUUUAAUCUUAUACUUAAGUACGUAAUACUAUGGACAGACUGCAGGGCUAAUGUAAAAUUAACCUGCUAAUGAAUACUUAUUUGCUAUUGCAUUGUUCUAGAUGAAUGUCUUUAAAAAGGGCAGUUGCCCAGUAAUUUCAAGGUGCACAAAGUGCUGUAACCAGUACCACUGCCCUUUUUGUGAGACGUACAAAACCACACCACAACUAUCCAUUGAUAACCAUGUGGAGAAUCAUCUACAAUUGGCAGUACACCAUGAUGAUUACACUGUAGAGAAAAUGCACAUUUUCACUGCUGUUACUGUCCUGCUACAGUGAUAAGAAAAGUGCAGUUAAUUACUCAACUUCAAAAAUGUAAACAAAAGUUGGCUAUUCCUGGCCAGGAAGCUCAAUCUCCACUCCUGCACAGCCCAGCAGCCACUGCUCCACUAUAUCGGCACAGACUUCUCAUGUCAUUACACAGGCGCCUCCCCUGUCUUUCCCCAUGGCUAUCCGAAAAUCUACAUCUCCAUUUCCUCUUUCUGCAUCCACCCAAGUAUUUCCAUCUCCGAAUAUUUCCUCUGUCCUUGUUCCACCAGGGCAACCAACAGUAAAGCGUCCUCAACCAAAGAAGAACAGAAUCAGAUGUGAUCAUUGUGAUAUGGAAUUGAAUAAAAAGAACUUGCGAGUUCACAUUAGAAGAAAGCACACCACAGUUAAAGAGGCCGUCACAUUAGAACGACGUUUACUUUGUCAGGUCAUUGACGGAAUUUCAACUUACUACAAAGUAUGUAGCAACUGCAGCAUGAUGUACAGAUACCAGGAAUUCACUGAUGGUAUCCAUAACUUCUGUGACCACCUUCUGCUUUCUCUUCACUUGUGUGUAAUUCUUCGCAAUGCUCUUCAGAAUCACACUGCUGUUAGUAGAGUAAUGAGCAUACUUGAAGCCACUGCCAAAGCAAAAUUCCCCAGCAAAGACACAGUGCUCCAUGGGUACCUUCACUUUGAAGCCUCGAGCAGCCAUGUUUAUUCUUACACCUGCAUCAAUUGUGGUUAUUACCCCAAAGUGGUGAUUAUGGAUCUCCACAAGAAAGGUGUCUUCAGUAUUCCUUUCAGUGAAAUAGCCACACCACCAUCAGAUUUCAAGGGUGAUACAAACAUUGUCUCUUUUUGGGAAUCCGUAACAAUGGAGAUGAUUGGCCGGGGAUUUCUUUCAAGUGGCAGGAAAAAUCCCUUCGUAGUUUACCCAAGUUAUGAUUGCUGGGCUCCUUGGAUUUGGACCUAAUAUCCGAAAGUCAGACAUUGUUCUAAACACUGAGCAUGCAAAACUACAAAAAACAAAGUCCCGUGAUGUUCCAGAUCUUGACGUCACAGAGGAAAGGUUAGGUGAUGAGCUCUGUAAUCUUAAGGUUGAUGCAGUGAGGAAGCUGUGCAAAAAGGGUUCAAGGAUGGAUCUUGUGUUACGUUUGCGAACAGAGAUGCAAAACCGCUCUGCGUACGACAAAAUCUUCCAGCAGAUUUGGGGUGCUUCUGGUAAAUUGCCUAACUCUCAUCUCUUAAAUGUCUAUAUAAUAAUAAUACAUUUUAAUAAUGCAUGAAUAUGUAGCUUUGAUUGAAAAAAAUAAUAAUAAUGUCCCGGGAGUUUAAAAUUUAUCCUGAUGGACAUUUAAUUUUCAGCAAAGCAUUCACUGGAAGACGCAAUAUUUCAUUUGCUAUAAAAACCUACUUGCAAUUUAUACAUGGGUUAAUUAACACUGAGUAAACUAGUCUCUGAGUCAACCCACGGACAAAUUGUUGGUAAAAGUAGGUAGAUUCACAGGUAUGAAGAAAUUAUGAAAACCUAAUUUUUGCUAGAGGACUUGCAGCACACGUUAAUCUUCGUGAAGCAGAUUCUCUGCCUUUCAGUCCCCAUGAAGGGAGACUUGCUGAACCAACUACAGCAAAUGUCCAGCUAGCAAAAGAAGGCAAGCUCAAAGUUAAUCUACCAUGGUUGAAAAAUGAGGAGGAGGAGGAUACCAACUGCCAUCCUUUGACAGGAUCAUCAGAUCAUUAUGCUUUGUAUGACAGAUUCCAUGAAUUCAACACCAAAGACCCAAGAGAUGCUCUUAGGAGAGUCCAAGUAGUCCCAGAACUUUGUGGAUGGGUAAAUACUCAAACCGCAGAGCAACUUUUUGCUGCAAUGCGCAAAAACAAUUAUUUCCUGACCAUGCUCACGCCAUCAGGACACACAUUUUUGAUGCACAACAUCAUUCACCAUUAUAAUACAGCACAGAAUAAGAACAUGGAGGACAGCCUAAGAAAAGCUGUAUCACCAAGUGAUCAGUUAACCUUCAAUGGUUACGGUCAGAUAGUACUUGGUACACCUCCACAGUCCCUAAAUGAUAGUGAGAGACUCACCUGUGAUAUUACACAAAUAGACCAAGUACACUACCCCAGCCAAGGUUCAGUGAUGGACAUGACAGCCCUACGAAAUGUGCAGCCAAACAGGGCAUGCAUCCACAAAGCAGUGACCAAAUGAAGAUGAUAAAAAAUGCUUUAAAUGAAAAGGAAUCACAACAAUUUUUGGCUCAAGUAGGAGCAACAAUUCUGGACCGAUCAGAUUUUAUUACCUUGGGACAUCCAAAUGAUGUUGAAGGGACUAUUUUGAAUGCCUGCCUUUCAAUGGUCAGAGAUAUUGCUGACUUAAAGAACAUAAAGGUCCAUUGUUUUAGCUCGUAUGUGACAGUGACAUGGUUGCCACCAUUGUGUGCAGACCCUUCAGCUAACUUACCUGACCAUAUAGCAGAAUGUGACUUCAUCUUACUGCCUUCCUGGGCAUCAAACCACUGGAUGGUAUAUAGUACUUGCACAGCAACGACAUCCUGGGCCGUGGAAAGAGUAUGGACGUGAUGAUCUCAACGGUGCUCCAAGGCAGAAUUGUUCAAAUAACUGUGGAGUGUUUGUGUUGAUGUACGCACUCUAUGUUGUAAUGGGAGGAGUCUUUGAUUUUGCUGAGUCUGACAUGGCUGCAGUAAGGAGAUGGUGGUGCUUGCUCCUGCUAACAAAUUAUCCUGUGAAAUCAGAUGCUGAAAGAAAGCUACUCAGAAAAAGGCGCAAAGAAAUGAAAACAGGAGAAUUGGAAAUGGAAGCUGAUUACAUAAGUAAGAUGCCACCUGAGAUCCUGAGACAUAUCCUCAUGAAUGUGGUCAAAGAAGAUGGAGAUGUGGCCUUCUUCAGACGGUCUCUGACGUGCUGGCUUUUCCAUGAUGUUUGUGAGGCAUCAUUCAGAAAAGAGGCUCAUUUUGCCUGGCUUGACAGUGUUGUCAACUGGAGUGCAUACUCCAGUGACUACAAGGAGAUGUAUCGAGUGCCAUAUAAAGUGACCAGUUGCCUUUGUUGUGGGGACUUAUUUAAAGACUUCCCGCCAGGCUAUAUUGGAGAUGGAAGGAAAGGAAUCCUUUGUGCAUUUUACUCGACCAAAGAGUUUGAAGGUUACUGCUCAGCAGACUGGUCCAUCUGUGACGGCAAUCACUAUAGCCCCAAGGACAACAAUUUAUAAAGUUAAAUAUAAAUGGUCACUUGAGGGACAACUGCUUGAUCUGACUGCUGUGAUCAGUUUGUAUAUUAAACUUAAAUUCAGGGGGGUUUUUUUAUUUUUUUUUUUCAUUUAUUUUUUUUUUUUUUAUAAAUGUACUUGCAUGUCUUGCAGACACUGAACAGCAAAUUAAGAGGAAUCUUAUGUACAGAUCACUGUUGAAUGUCAACAUAUCAUUUUAUAUAUAUCAUCAGCACUUGUUUAUUUUGACAUCUGACAAGUUUUUUUUUUUUUUUCUUGGUGCUGUUAAUAUUUUUGCAUUUUCCCCAUGAAUGUGUACUGGUAUUUUAAGUUGUAUACAGACUUUAUUGUAUUGUACCUUUUAGGAUUAAAAUUACAGAGACAAUUACUUGACUCAUUUUUGCUUCCACUCAACAGCAAAUAUGACCUGAAUAGAAUAAAAUGGCUUUAUUUUAAAAUGUUCUAUAUACACGCAUUAAAAAAUAAUAUUUGCGGUGACAUUAUGCUAUUAAUCCAUCAAAUUUAGGUUUAAAAACUCUAAAAUCACGUGAUUUAAAAUGUUGUCCAGACGACUAUUUUGCAUUUAUAAUAUCAAUCUUUAAAUAAAUGUAAACAAUUAUUUAUUACUAUUCAUCAGUACUACUAUAGAGGUUAGAACAUCAUCUCAAUACAAUAUUGAGCAUGCGUGUCACUCAAGACCAGCGCAUGCGCAUUAUAAUCAGAGAUCGGUACUGCGCAUGCGUCUUUGACGUCAUCAAAACACCACCGCGCAUGCGCGUGACGACGUCCAGUACGUAUUGGAUCUGAUCCAGCUACGUCAUCGUGCUACAGGCUGCAGCGAGGACUUCUUGGCUUCUGCUCCUGCUACGUGCUGCCGCGCAGCCUCUAGCCUCGUUUACACUGCACACGUGUGCGGCGCGUUAAGGCUGAUUUAUACUUCUGCGUCGAGUGUACGCCGUAGGUUGUUUUUACCACGCGUAGCCUGACGUGCACCUCUUCAAAAAUGUAACAACGCGUCAAUUCUACGCGGACCUCAAGCGCUCUGAUUGGUCUGCCUGAACCCCUCCCUCAGGUCAAAAAACUGGCGCGGAGCAAUCGGAGAAGAGCGAGCGUUUUCAACUUCCAUAGGAAUGUUUCAGGGGACACAUGCAGUCAUACUGCAACAAAAGUCGUUACCUAUUUGCCACUUCUAUUUGUAAGCUUCUCUGACAACGUACAUGACGAGUUGCUUCUUCAGCUUUUGCCUUGAUACUCAACAUGACCUGCCUACUAGUGGUCUGCAUGCACAUCGACGCGGACAACGACGCAGGAGUAUAAAUGAAAACAGACACAUAGCCUAUGGCACAGAAGCUCCGGUCUAGGUCCGACGCAGAAGUAUAAAUCAGCCUUUACGGCUGCGACACGGCUACCGGAGCUGAUACGCGGCCACUCUAGUCAAUGCUCGUGUUUACACCGGCUGCGCCGCGGGGUGUUUUAGAAGCGUCCCAGAAGCGGCCGCUUCGCUAAAGAUAGGCGCCUCGCCUUUUUUUGAAGGACGCCGCAUCCAAGAUGCGCAGCUCAAUUACAAAAUAAAGUCAAAAUAAUCACCCUGUGUAAACUCCCACUCAUAUUUCACAUCACUAGGAGGCCAGAAACUGAAGACAAGAGAUUUGAAUUUGAAAAACUUUAAAUUUCUUUGUUCUUCCCAGCCAGCACAGCUAUGUGGCGCCGAGAUGGGUGUCACCUGGGCUGUCUAACUGCUCAGUGUGCACACUACAGGCUGUUAAAUGUAACACUGAAUCGGUGUUGGAGUUAAAGAGAUAAUUAGGUGAUAACGAGCAGAAUCACCAAAGGACAGAGGAACAACAAGAACUACGACUUCAGCCAGACUUCAAUGAAAUCAACUGAAGAUAAAAGUCAUUAAAUCCCUCAAAAUCUGAUUAAACAUCUCCACAAACGGCAUUACCAGCUUCACUUAUUACUAACCAGAUUGACUUUAUUUCUGACAUACAUCUACAGAAGUUGUUAUUGAGAAUUACCAGAGGUUUAGAUGUUGAUGAUUUGUUGAAAAUAAGUUUGUCACCAUGAUCGAGGUCAGUGCUUGCUUCAGUUAGGCAGUUUUACUCUUGACUGUUUUAGUGUUAGUGUUUCUCUGGCUGCUCCAGCUGUUUGUUAUGGCAAGAUAAACAAGAGACAAGCAUCAAGCAGGGGCGUCGCACACACUUCUGAUGGACAAAAUAAAUAUAAUUUCACACAAAAAGUGUUCAAAAUGCACAGAAUAAGCAUGUCUAAUGUGUUUUAACAAGAAUUUGAGUAUGACAGAAAAUUAAGAAUCAAAAAUAAUUAUAGAAGAUUUACCCAUUUAAACUUGUUUUUAAUUAUUCAGCUUGGGUUGAAGUAUGGUGUAUAAUAAAAAACUAAAGUAAACUAGCUAGAAAAUAUGAUAUAUAAACAUUAUUUUAGUUAUUACACAGAGAGGCUGUAGCAUACCCAAAUCAAACCCGAGUUUGCUGUCUUUUUUCUCCGAGUUUGCUGUCUUGUAAACAUGUGAUGUAAAACACAAAGCUUUACCUCAUUCAUGUGCAGCAAUGGAUAACACAAGGCUUUAAUUUAUUUGUAUUUAUUAUUAAACAGCCAGUCCUCCCGGUGCACCGAGUGUCCGAAUUCACUCUCUCGUUUCAUUCACUUCUUCAAGUGGACUAUGUUAGUGGACUAAUGUAGGGAACAGUGAAUGAGGGUAUAGGGGGCGAUUUCGGACACAGCCGAUGAACUUCAGUUUAAGUCACUUCCGCGUAUCAGCCUUAAGAGAAACGGGGUGAGGUUACUGCUGGACUGCCUGUCGACAAGAAACUUCUGUGAAAUGAACUUGUGUUUAUUAAUUUAGCAGUGUGAGACGAAAUAAAAACUCAUCGCCUCUUCUGUGUGUGUAACAAAUACAUAACGGCUCUCCACUGGUGAUCUUACAUUGAAGACUCUGUUCAUAAGUGAAGGAGAUUUCAGAGCUGCUGUUCAACAGUUUCAGAGGAAAGAAAGAUCUACAAAUAUUAUUUGAGGAUCCUAACAUAAAGAAAAAUGUCGAGUGACAUCUUCUACCCUGAUAAUCCGAAAAGAAGGGAGCAGCUUAUCCGCAAAAGUCAACAGUUUCAAGAUCUGAUGGAGGGCAACUUCCGAGCCACCAAUGAACUAACUGAUGUUAUGAACGAGCACUUGAAUUGCUCCUUCAAACAUAUCACACUGAACAAGAAAGCUGCUCUUCAGGAGAACUGUGAUGUGAUGAUUGAAUGCUUACAUAAGAUCCAGGCAGUGGUAGAGAAGAUUGACAAGGAGCUGAAGGAGAAGCUGGAUCCCACCCUGUAUGAGAAACUAAAAGUGCUAAACCUGUCUCUGUCUCCUGAACAAUUGAAAAGCAUUUCAAUAGCUAUCAAAACAGUUUGUGGUGUUGAAGGAAUGAAAGCUACUGCUGUAGUUCGUAUAUUAAUUCACACUGGAGAUAUUCUGGGAAACUUUGUAAGUAAGAUUGGUAAAAUUGGAGCAGGGACAUUACCCAGUGUUGGGUUGGGAGUGGUGUUUAUGGAGGUCGACAUGAUUAUUGAGGCCAUUAUUGGGAGCGUUGAGCGAGAUCAACUUGAGAAGGCCCUGAAAGAGUAUGACGAAGUUUUGAAUGAAUUCAAACCAGCGUCUUUAGAGUAUCAGCGUAACAUUAUGAAGGUCCAAUGCAAAAUUGAGGAAAUUAAGAAUUAGAAAUUCUUUCUUUUUCCUGCCUGAAAUGUUUGCUGCAAUUAUAAACUAAAAAUUGUUAUAUCUUUGUGCUUAAAAACAUGCAGAAAUAUAUGAAAAUUUAGCUCAAAGUGACAUUAUGAAAUAAGUAGAAUGUAGAAAAAGAAAGAAUCGAAUGAGAAAUAAAUCAGUUAUCCUGCUACAUCAACUCUGCAGCAUAUAUAUAUAAAUAUAUAUAUUUUUUUUUUGAGAAUUAGGAAUAUCUGAAUUUAAAAGAGCGUCAUACCCACAUACAUUGGAGUAAAUUGAUAAAAAAAUGGUCUCCUUUUACAGAAAACCUUUUAACACAGUGGUGGAAUAUUGCAUAUAUUUUUUUAAAUCUGUAAUUUAGGAUCUUUUUGGUCUGUCCCUGCAGAAACUUUCUUUUGACUCCACUAGGUGGCAGUAAACAGAGGAAAAAGUAAUCUACUUGAUAUCUCCUUCUAAACAGAAGUUAUUUAGAUUUUACUAAAAUGAGGUAUUGGUGUCUCCAAGUGUACCUUUAUCAUCUCCAUUUGCAAUUUCUAAAAUAAUCAGGCAUACCUGAAUUUAAAAGAGUGCCUUACCCAUAUACAUUGGAGUAAAAGGAUAGAAAUGGUCUUAUUUUACAGAAAACUCUGUAAAUUUCAACACAGUGGUGGAAUAUUGCAUAUAUAUAUAUAUAUAUUUUUUGUAUACAUUCACAAUUUUAUAAUAAACACAUUAAAAGUCUAUUUUCUAUUUUUUUAUUAUGAGUCUGUAAUUUAGGACCUGUUUUUCCCUGCAGGGGAAUUAUUUUGAAUCUUCUAUGUGGCAGUAAAUAAAUAAAUCUUUCUAUCACCUUCUUCACAAAAAUGAUUGAGCUUUAACUGAAGGGAGGCAAUGUCUUUCUGAAGUCUCCAAGUUCCCUCCAUAAACCCAAAUUAUUCAAAAUUGCAAAAACAGGCUUUCUACCUGUAAAACAGUAUUUUUACUGUUACACUUGACAAGAGAAUGAUCUGACACAUUAUGUCAUGUGUUAUAUACCUCAGCAAAAUGAGGGUAAGUAGCAGUUCUUGCAUUUCAUUAUAUACAAAGAUAAUGAACUGCAAGAAAAUAAAUCAAAUGUAUAGAGAAAAAUGUGCAAAAAGAAAGUAUGUUUUUUUUAUAUAUAUAUAUAUAUAUAUCAUAACACGCACACACACAAACUCAAAAGGUUUUAACAUGUAAGACGUGUAUGGUGUACAAGGACUUGCAGGAGUUGAAAUUAUAAAUCCUUGAUCACUUUUAGUCAGCUUUGACAAAACUUCCCUCAGCUAGCGCGUCUUUUUGAAGUGACUAGCAGCCUUGUCACCUGAUCACCUUGUCACUUGUCGGUUUCUGUACACAAACAACAAGGGCGCUUGUCGGUUUCUGCAGUAAAACGUGAACUCACGAUGCCUGACAGUGGACAACACCGGCUUUUCUGACAAAACGUAUUUAGGGUUCAGAACGUGAUGUAUGUGGAGAAUAAGGCACGGCAGUUCGUUUUUUUUUAAGUGGUUUAUCAGUUUUUGCAAAUUAACUCUUCAAGUGCAAAAAACACAAUAUACAAAUCUAAGAUAUAAAAUAACUAUAUACUGCAUAUAACUAUAAAAAUGUCAACAAGUUGCUAUAGAAAAAAAAUGAGACCAACUUUUAGUUAGUUCGUUGCAACCGAUGAAAAUUGCUGCAACUGUUGACAAAACAACAUUCUCAAGAGUGUCCAUCAGUGUGACAGUUUCUAGAUGGCACCAAGCACAGGGAACGCUGCACUUUGUACAGUACAUAGGAGUCUUUACUUUAAAAGUUUGCGCGAAGCACAAACUCUCCUCCCACUUGCGGCAUCUGACCCGAAGUACUCUGGACAGCAUGGCUCUCCUGCUGCUUUGGCAGAUGGCAGACUUUUGUUCUGAGCUUUGGAACGAUGCUGCUGGAGAAUGAAACUGUUUAUCACCGCAAUGGCAAUAAAAUAGAAAAUACCCAAUUAGGGCAUCUGACAGGUCCCCACCUCUUAUAUAUUCAUUAUAGUCCUUCACUGCCGCUGACAUUGGGAUUCUGCUCUUUUCCCAUUCACCCUCUUGACACGCCUGAGAACUGCAUCACCGUCAUAUGCCUUGUGCAUCGUCAAACACAUUGUAACAUCUCGUGUGUCCAUCCACUUCACAAAGAGAAGCUUCCCAUCUCUGAGCCAUUGUAUGGUUCCCCUUUGGUCUCUGCGACUGAGGUCAUUUGCCUUCAUUCUGGGGAAGCCCCGCGGGUCGGUGAAUAUUGAGUUUUCUUAGCAAGCAAGUACAGCUGUCUGUCUGGAUGGAAUAAAGUUUUGCAUAGGUUGGUAUCAUUUAAAAGAAAACUUUUUACAGUUUUUUAAAUAAAAAAAAUAAAUAAAUUUUGGACAUUCUCAUGCUGAGAAACUGCUAAUAAAGUGCAAAAAAAAAAAAAAAAAUGUGUUCAAGGGAAAUUUUUACAUAUUUUUCUAAUUUGUCAUGCAAUAUCUCCUGAAGGAAAUAAGAUAGGAGGACAAUUCAUUUUUGGUGAUGUUCCUCUAUAUGUGAGCUGUAUCUGGAUCCAAUUUUUUUGUCAAAAGUUACAGCAUUUGGAACCAAGAUAGCCUUUUUUGUUUAGCCCUUGUCACCCCCUAAUGGGCAUUUUUAAAAUCGUACUUUCACAUUGUAACGAGGCGGCAGACUCGAUGGGAUCCAUAUGCAGCUUUAUUAUAAACAAUCAUAGUCGUACAGGCAGGGGUCAAACACCAGCAAUAACAGUGUCCAAGGCAAAGCGUUAUCAUAAACAGGAACAGGCAGCAGGCAAGGCAGAGUAAUCCAGGAAACAGUCAGGAAAGACACAGGGCAGGCAGCAAGUAAACACGAGGGUACCAAAGGUCCAAGGUCAUACACAGAAUAGCAGUAAACAAGGGAAACGCUCAGUAGUGUCAGCCGGGGCAAAACAAGACUUCGCAAUGGGUGAAUGUGUGCGUCUGCUUAAAUAGUCCGGGUUAUGGGGAUCAGGUGAGUGUGUAAUCAGCCCAGGUACAGGGUUAUGGGAAAUGCAGUCCAGGAAAGUUAAUACUCGGGUGAGGGAGCCCUCUGGUGGCGAUCGGAGGGAGCCACAGAGGCCAAGUUCGUGACACACGUGGAGUAACCCGUGAUCAACGCAUGGGAUUAUGUUGAUUUUGGACUCAUUUCAUUCGGGAGAAUCUACUGUUCCCAAAACUCUCCCUGGGUCUUUCCUUUCCCUUUGCCACCAAGACCUCGAUGACCUCCUUGGACUUGGAGACUUCACCACCCGUCAUGAGGAGGAGAGGACAGCGUGUUGAGGAGCAGUGGACAAGAUUUGUUAGAGAGGUAAAUGUACUUGUUUGUUUGUUGAUUUUCCCAGAUUAGAAUAUAAAAGCGAAUUAGGUUUUAAAUUGAAAGUGCUCUUUCGUUUGGGGUUUUGAAGUUUCAAAAAGCAAAGAAGAAUCCAAGGCACUCUUCCAAUAAAUUUAAAUGGCAUGUUAAAACCAGACCAGCCAGUUUGCCUUCAUAGUGAGCAGUGAAUACAAUAGCAAAUACAUUUAUUUUAAUUCAUUGGAAGAUUGCCUGAGAUUAUCUGCUGUUUGAAGAGUUUCUUUUCUGCUAAUUUUAGGUUCCUCUUAACCUCUAAAAUGACUUCCCUAGAACAAGAACCAAGCUGAAAUAAUGACCCUGCUUGUCAUUGAGUGUGAUGAAUGGGAACAGAUUUACUCAUUAAUGUUGGACUUGUCGUUCACUUGUCAGCUGUAAACUGUGAGAGAAACUUCUCCACAAAGAGUCGGGUGAGGAUAGAGGGCAUGGCACUAUGACUGAAUUUGCAAAAUGUUUGCCAACCAUUGUAUUACACAAUGACUGCAUAAUCAUCUUAACUAAAAGUAGAGAACAAACAGUGUGCUCCAAAUGCAUUUUGAUCUUUCAUUCAUAUUUGUAAUUGUAGUUAUUUUCAGAUCAACUCAGACCUUCGUAACAGACUGCUUGAGGGUCUCCAUUAGUGGGCCAAACCCAGAAGAAUUCAGUUGCAAAUGGGCUUCAGGACUCCAGAGAGGGAACAGUGUCCACCCACCACUGCUUCUGGAGAUCUGCCUUCCUGUAAAGCUCAGCUCCAGCCCUGAUCAAACACAACUGAAGCAGAUCAUUAAGAUCUUCAGGAGCACCUGAACUGCUGGAGCAGGGCCAGUACGGGACUCUGAAGGUAGAUAGACCUCCAGGACCAGGAUUGGGCACCCCUGGUCACAAAAUGAGAAUCAUCAACAUUUAAAACAUGUUAUAGCACAUGUGUACAACCAUUUAAAUCCUUUCUCUUUUGUAGGCACAGGUGGAUGACAAGUGAGUUCAUGUCAUAUUUUAAAAUGGAGGGUGGGAAGGGCAAGCUUGCCUUAACAAAGCUAAAUCUUUUUAAUAAUUAUCACAGGUAAAAAAAAAUAAAAUAAAAAAACUUACAGUAUAUCCUCAGUCUUCUAUAGUAUCAGUUUUGGUGGUUUAGUGAAAACCUCACAGUGUUAAAAUCCUGGUGUUUUAGAGUAAAGAGUUUAUGUUAUGGUGUUUAAUGAACACAGCUGGGGUAAAAAGGAUCCUGUGACUGGUGAAAUUACGAAGAGUCUGACCUCACUAACACAUCCGGGACAUUUAUGUGCUGCACGCUUAAACCAGCUGAAACGGUUCACAGUGACGCCAUUUUAUUUAGCGUUGAGGCCUUUGUUUUUUUAACAUUAUGUUUUUUCAAUUAUACAAUAUGUAAUUUAUAACGUAAUAUUGUUUUAUAGAGAUACUUACUUGCCAUGUGCACAAAAACUCAGACGCAAUUUUCUUUGGCUUGGUGUGUGGAGCUGAUAAGGUGGCUACAUUUAUUAACAGGAGAAACGCAGGAAGUAAGUGAUUUAUUUCAUGAAGAAAAAAUGGCUCAUCUUACCCCACAUUCCCCUAUGGCCCGUCAACAGAUACUCGUGGCCUGUGGCCAAUCAGUAGAUAUUUGUCCGUCCUAUGGCCCAUCAUCAACAGAUAAAUACAUACCCAUGUCCAUACCCACUAUUUGCCCAUCAGUUUACUUUGGACAAUGUAUGCUAACAAUUUGUUUUGUUUUGUUUAGGAAUGUGGCUGCAUCACGAUUCCUGCCCACAUUUGAAACUGGACCACAACUGAGCUCUGCUGAGUCACAUUCUCCCAUGAGUCUAUUCAAACUCUUUUUUUCAGAAAGUGCUGUGUCAACUCUGUGCCAUAACACCAAUGCGCAGGCUGCCAAAGCAACGGCAAAGGGCUGCAAAUAUAAAUGGACAGAUGCGACCAUCGGUGAGAUGUACCGCUACAUUGGGCUGCUGUUUCACAUGGCAGUGGUGAAGAAGUGAAGGAGAUUUCAGAGCCCCUGUUCAACAGUUUCAGAGGAAGGAAAGAUCUACAAAUAUUAUUUGAGGAUCCUAAUAUAAAGAAAAAUGUGGAGUGACCUCUUCUACCCUGAUAAUCCUAAGAGAAGGGAGCAGCUUAUCCGCAAAAGUCAACAGUUUCGAGAUCUGAUGAAGAGCAACUUCUAUGCCACCAAUGAACUAAUCGACGUUAUGAACGAGCACUUGAGCUGCUCCUUCGAACACAUCGAGCUGGACAAGGCUGCUACUCUCCAGGAGAACUGUAAUGUGAUGAUUGAAUGCAUGCAUAAGAUCCAGGCAGAGGUAGAGAAGAUUGACAAGGAGCUGAAGGAGAAGCUGGAUCCCACCCUGUAUGAGAAACUGCUAAACCUGUCUCUGUCUCCUGAAGAAUUUAAACUGAUUUCAAAAGUUUUGGAAGGAGUUUAUGGUAUUGCAACUGUGGGAUCUACUACUUUAGUUAGUCUUUUAAUUGAUAAAGGAGUAAUUCUGGCAAAAAUAACAAGUACGUUUGUUAAAAUUGGAGCAUUAACAUUAGCCAGUGUUGGGUUGGGAGUGGUGUUCAUGGGGGUCGACAUGAUUAUUGGGGCCAUUCUUGGGAGCAUUGAGCGAGAUCAACUUGAGAAGGCCCUGAAAGAGUAUGACGAAGCUUUGAAAGAAUUCAAACCAGCGUCUUUAGAGUAUCAGCAUAGCAUUACCCAUGUCCAAGUCAAAAUUGAGGAAAUUAAUAAAUGAGAAAUGCAAGUUUCAAAUGUUUUCUUUUUCCUGCCUGAAAUGUUUGCUGGAAUUAAAAAACUAAUAAUUGUUAUUACAUCUUUGUGCUUAAAAACAUUAUUCAGAAAGGUCAAAGUGACAUUUUGAAAAAAUAUGUAGAAAAAGAAAGAAUCUAGUGAGAAAUGAAUCACAGUUCUCCUGCUAUUAAAAGCUCAUAAAACCA